AAUGUGAGGAUUGCAGCAAGAACACAGAAUGUUCUUUUUCUUUCCGAGUCAAAUGCAUGCUGGAGUCCCUUCGAGUGACACACAGCCAACAUACUGUAUGUUCCUACAUCUUGUUUUGUUCCGACAUAUCACAGAAGGAGAAAGCUUCAUCAUCAAUGUCCUCCCCAGCACUUUGACAAUCACCACCUUUGCCUGGCAGCUUUCGGUGCUCACAAUGACAGGCCUAAUUGCAUAUUUUGCAGAUGGUUGAGCAGAUCGUCUGCUCCGCUGGCAAGGUUCCAGAAUGGCUCAACAACACACCGCACCGGCCUCGCUUGGCUCGGCCUGGCCUAUGUUGCUUUUCCGUUAUCUGAGGCACGGGGCAGGACUGAGGUGCGAUCAGUUGAACCGUGCAAGUCUCCGCUGCACAACGCACACUGCAGCGCACUGGCUUCUGCCCUAACAUUUCCUGGGUGGUUGCACAAUUUUAUUUACGUCUGGAGGUUCAUGGGGCACAAUUAUGAGCUACAGACACAGCUAGAAAGUUCUCUUCUU